rnacentral:misc_RNA from 1 species
AAGACUAUAGACCUGCGGAGUACCUGCGUAAGGAUCAUUAACGUAUCUAUGAUGGGGUGCGGAGCGCCCUGCUCCGGUCGAACGGCCGUGCAGCGGGUGCGCCGCCCCCGUCCCACCUCACAAACCCACUGUGAACAUUCACCGGUGGAGGGGGCUCGGUCUGCGCCGUGUCCCCGAUGCCGAAUACCCAAACUCCAGUUGCAAAGAACGUCGUGCGGACUCGGUGCCGCCUAAAACAUG